rnacentral:rRNA from 1 species
GAUGAACGCUGGCGGCGUGCCUAAUACAUGCCAGUCGAGCGAACAGACGAGGAGCUUGCUCCUCUGACGUUAGCGGCGGACGGGUGAGUAACACGUGGAUAACCUACCUAUAAGAUUGGGAUAACUUCGGGAAACCGGAGCUAAUACCGGAUAAUAUAUUGAACCGCAUGGUUCAAUAGUGAAAGACGGUUUUGCUGUCACUUAUAGAUGGAUCCGCGCCGCAUUAGCUAGUUGGUAAGGUAACGGCUUACCAAGGCAACGAUGCGUAGCCGACCUGAGAGGGUGAUCGGCCACACUGGAACUGAGACACGGUCCAGACUCCUACGGGAGGCAGCAGUAGGGAAUCUUCCGCAAUGGGCGAAAGCCUGACGGAGCAACGCCGCGUGAGUGAUGAAGGUCUUCGGAUCGUAAAACUCUGUUAUUAGGGAAGAACAAAUGUGUAAGUAACUAUGCACGUCUUGACGGUACCUAAUCAGAAAGCCACGGCUAACUACGUG